rnacentral:rRNA from 1 species
UAACACAUGCAAGUCGAACGGUUACAGGAAGCAGCUUGCUGCUUCGCUGACGAGUGACGGACGGGUGAGUAAUGUCUGGGAACUGCCUGAUGGAGGGGGAUAACUACUGGAAACGGUAGCUAAUACCGCAUAACGUCGCAAGACCAAAGAGGGGGACCUUCGGGCCUCUUGCCAUCGGAUGUGCCCAGAUGGGAUUAGCUAGUAGGUGGGGUAACGGCUCACCUAGGCGACGAUCCCUAGCUGGUCUGAGAGGAUGACCAGCCACACUGGAANUGAGACACGGUCCAGACUCCUACGGGAGGCAGCAGUGGGGAAUAUUGCACAAUGGGCGCAAGCGUGAUGCAGCCAUGCCGCGUGUAUGAAGAAGGCCUUCGGGUUGUAAAGUACUCUCAGCGGGGAGGAAGGUGAUGAGGUUAAUAACCUCAGCAAUUGACGUACUCCGCAGAAGAAGCACCGUUUAACUCCGUGCCAGCAGCCGCGGUAAU